CGUACACGGUAAUGGGGUAAAGGGCCGAUUUACGGUACGCGCGGACACGUAGACAGUGCAGUAUCAUAGCAGAUAUUAUUUCGUGAUGCGAGCAGGGAAUAAAGGAAAGAAGGAGAUAAAGACAAUAAGUUAUUCAGUGUAACGACACAAAUACAAAACUUCGGCGACAAAAGCACAAAAAUUGAUUCAUUUUCAUAUGCUGCUACAAUUGACAUCGAGAGCAGAGCGUUUGUGCGUAGGUAUCGUAUAAUAUCUGUACGUUUACGAGAAUGAUUAGCACAGCUAGCGGCUGAAAUAAUCCACUUAAGGCAGGUACCGAACCCAGGACAAAGUAAAGCCUCGCGUUGCUUGGCGUCGAUCCAAAUGUAGCAAGCAACCCCAAGAAGGCCCAAAGUGGGAGAAGGAACACCCUCAUUUGUUUGAUGUGGCCAAUACAAGUGACCUGAACACAGGCAUGAUCAAUGACAUGCAACCUAUGGAAUCUCUGUUUCAUUUGUGUUCGUCAAGCUCGGCAAAUAGGUAACAAGUAAAUCAACAAGCUUGUACUAUACAAUACCACCGAUAAAGAACCCGAGGGUGGGUUAGAACCGAGCGCCACUCCCCAGGUCCGUAUUCUGGCAUUCGGCUUUAGAAAGCAAAGUAACUACUCAUACCACUCCAAAGCUCAAAGCAUCGUAGUGGAAAGUUGACGCCCAGCAGUUUGUAAAAGCUAGAAGGACAACGAUAAAGGACACACUGUUUACGCUGCAACGGAAUACAAACACGAGUAAAGCGUAUUGGAUUCCCCGACAAACCGCACACAUAUACCAACAAGAGAGGGUAUACGAUCGGACGAGAGAACGCCUUUAUUUUGGCGUCAGCAAACUCGACAAUAUCUCAGGUGAAUGCUGUUCCUCACCUAAUCCUUCGCGGGUUUUGAACAUCUGCCGUACGGUGCUGCACUGCGUUCCGUCGCCGUGACAAAUAC